rnacentral:snoRNA from 21 species
ACCUCCUGUUUCUGCCUCAAGUUCUUUUUUCACCAUAGAAUAUUGGGUUCUGUUUAGGGAGAAGAUAAAGCUGGUUGAAGACAACGACACCUUUGAUACAACCGUCGCUUGUUUUUGACCAGAUCGUGUGGACAGGCCCAACCUUGAAGGCAUAUCGGCUCAUUGCCCGUUGUCGGUUUGGUCUCCACUACAUCU